AGGGUUUGAUCAUGGCUCAGAUUGAACGCUGGCGGCAGGCCUAACACAUGCAAGUCGAGCGAGAAAGCACUUCGGUGCGAGUACAGCGGCGGACGGGUGAGUAACGCGUAGGAAUCUACCUGGUAGUGGGGGACAACAUGUGGAAACGCAUGCUAAUACCGCAUACGACCUAAGGGUGAAAGUGGGGGACCUUCGGGCCUCACGCUAUCGGAUGAGCCUGCGUAAGAUUAGCUAGUUGGUGAGGUAAAGGCUCACCAAGGCGACGAUCUUUAGCUGGUCUGAGAGGAUGAUCAGCCACACUGGGACUGAGACACGGCCCAGACUCCUACGGGAGGCAGCAGUGGGGAAUAUUGCGCAAUGGAGGAAACUCUGACGCAGCCAUGCCGCGUGUGUGAAGAAGGCCUUAGGGUUGUAAAGCACUUUCAAUUGGGAAGAAAGGUUGUACGUUAAUAGCGUGCAGCUGUGACAUUACCUUUAGAAGAAGCACCGGCUAACUCCGUGCCAGCAGCCGCGGUAAUACGGAGGGUGCGAGCGUUAAUCGGAAUUACUGGGCGUAAAGCGCGCGUAGGCGGUUUGUUAAGUCGGAUGUGAAAGCCCUGGGCUCAACCUGGGAACUGCAUUCGAUACUGGCUAACUAGAGUGCGAGAGAGGGAGGUAGAAUUCCAUGUGUAGCGGUGAAAUGCGUAGAUAUGUGGAGGAAUACCGGUGGCGAAGGCGGCCUCCUGGCUCGACACUGACGCUGAGGUGCGAAAGCGU
rnacentral:rRNA from 1 species